ACUUUCUUCCCCGCUCCCCUCCUCCACACGCGCCGUGCGCCGCGCCCCGAGCCAGCACCUUGCUUAACCCCUUCCCGCCCGCGCCUAGGGCGCGCAGCGAGUCUGGGGUGCCCGGGUAGGCUCAGGACUGCGCCCACCAGGACAACGUCGAGGGUGGAGAGUAUGGUGGUCUUCCGAGGACCCAAGCCUGCAGUCUCCAGAAGCCCCCUAAAUCGCCAGGGGCGGUUCCCAGGGACCCAAUCCCGCUCUCUCGCGAUCUUACGCUAAAUUGCCAAGGGCAAGCGCAAGGUUGUGCUAUGGCGCGGCUCAAAACGUUUGAGAGGAUGGAGAGAGGCCACACCCCCUCGAUUAACGUCACUGUUUCCAAGGCAAUCGGAGGCGGGGCUGUAGACAAGUGGACUUUGGGGACUAUGGCUUACUAGGGCUCCAGGACAGGGUGCGGCUGGGCUGGGGGCUCGGCGGGGUGGGACGUUUCUGUCUUUGCUUUUUUAUUGACUCGCUUGAUUUUUGAUUCAACAGAUAUUUAUGCUUGGCGCCAUUCUUAGGGACUGUUUUUCUCUCACCAAGUCUGCGGUUCACAGGUUGUCACCAAGCCGGGUGGAGUGGCCAUGCACCCAGGAUAUGAUAUGAUCCUGGGAUAGAUGUAAUGUCUUUUUAUUAAAUUUACUGUAGGGGG
ensembl:lincRNA Gm20109 predicted gene, 20109